GCAUCUCUACGAGGAAACUGUGACGGAUGUACAUAAUUAUUUCUCCCUGCGCAGAUUGAGAUGGAGAAACUUUUGGCCCAGCUGGUGGAGACAGAAAUCAACAAACGAACGGUAAGUUUGUGCCACAUCAAGACAUACUGGUUGCAAUAAAUAAGGAAAUCAUGGUGCCCCUUGUAACCUGGACAUCAUGGAUAUCUUUGCAGAAAGAAGGCACCUACAAAGGAAAGAAGUUCAAUGCCAUCUGCCACUUCUUUGGCUACCAAGCUCGAGGGUCUCUACCUUCAAAGUUUGAUUGUGAUUAUGGCUAUGUAUGACGAUAAUCCUUGAUUUUUAUGCUUUUCCUUGAUAGUUAUCCAAGUUUU
rnacentral:lncRNA from 1 species